UGACGUGAUGAUCAACACAUGGAAUCUCGUUCGACUGAUGAACCAGUUGAUGAUAAGUUGUAUUUCUGAUCACG